UGGUCUCCUGAGCUCAAGUGAUCCUCUUUCCUUGGCCUCCCAAAGUGCUGGGAUUACAGGCAUGAGCCAUCACUCCCGGCCUCGGCAUAGUUGUGUUGGGCAGGUGGAUAAAGUUAUAAAAUCCCUAUAGACUGGAGUCAAAAAUGCCAUUUUUGCCCAAGUGCAAGCUCUCUGCCAGAAUAAAAUGGUAUGAAAUCAAUUAAAUAGGACAGUUUUAUAAUGUCAGGUUCUUAAAUUUGUAUUUUACUCUUUGGGAAGUAUGCAGAUUCCUGUAUUUCUGGCAGAAUCAUCUCUCAUCUUUCUGAGAGGAAGGAAGAAUUCUGUCCUCUCAAAUCAGCGUUAGUGCAAAUUAUAUGAUCAGAGAGUUUAAUCUACCACUUUCCUUGUUGCUGUGUAGAUUUCAGCUAACUUUAUUAUAUGUUGGUGCAUAGCUUCCUAAUAGCUAGAGUUGUUUUCACCCUAAAGUAAGCAACCAGGGUUUUUUAACAACUUGCUCAAAGUGGCAGCCUUAAAAAAAGGUUUUAUAAAAGUGGAAAACCUUGAGAUAAUUGGCAUUAUUCUCCAGUAGGACUUGAGGCAAACUUGUCUUAUUACUCAUAUGGUAUAACAAGUGCCCCUUCUGAUCCAAAGUCAUCUCCUUUCAGGGCAGAAAUAGGAUUACUAUUUUAGGUUCUUGCAUAUAUAGCAGAUUGUUUGGAGAAGGAGAGAAAGGAAGCACUUUUUUUUUUUCUGUUUGUCUCUGCACAUUGUCUUAUUUUUCCCCAAAACUUAUAGACAAACAUUUUGUUCUAGGGUAUAAUUUACCCAUUGGGUCCAUGCAUUUACAUGCAGAUAGGAAAGGAUGCUGAGCUACUUCACCUGUGGGCAUGAUGAUGCAGUCUUCAUUUCCUGGUAAGAGAAGAACAGAAACAUGGAGGAGCCUCUGCUUCAUUUCCUCUCCAUUUCCCUUGCCCCCAGCUCUUGCACCAAAUGUUCAGUUAAGAACCUGUCCAGCUUGCCCGUGGACCCUAGGAGGAUGAGGGAUAUGUACAGCAGAGAUGCCCACCAGCUUGCCAACCCCUGAGUGAGCCCAGCCAAGGUCUCGCGCUGUCACCCAGGUUGGAGAAGGUGCAAUCAUAGC